rnacentral:misc_RNA from 1 species
AAGUCGUAACAAGGUUACCGUAGGUGAACCUGCGGUAGGAUCAUUACAGAGUUCAUGCCCGAAAGGGUAGACCUCCCACCCUUGUGUAUUUAUACCUUGUUGCUUUGGCGGGCCGCCGCAAGGCUACCGGCUCCGGUCGGUACGUGCCUGCCAGAGGACCCUCCAAACUCUGAAUGUUAGUGUCGUCUGAGUACCAUAUAAUAGUUAAAA